CCCCUCCGACUGCUCUGCCCUCUCCAUCGCACCGCUUUGUCCUCUCAUUCCCCCCAGAUGGUCACCACCCAACGCUGGCAGGAAGAGGGUUGGGGGAGGCGAGGCGAGGCUCUGCGUGUCGUCGGCGGCGGAGGCUGCUUCCGCACCUAGACCGGCAGCAGAGGCGGACGUUUCACCGUCGAUCUCCCAUCCCAUGCAGUCGAUGGCGGAGUAUGCUUGCUCGCCCCCGAUGGGGGGAAACUGGGAGUUUAGAUCAGGAAGCAAAGGCACGGCACAUACUUUGACGACAGCGAAUUCAGCCUUCAGUCCGUGUGCAGCCUAACCAAUGUGCAUGGAAAGAAAAUUUGAUGCAGUUUCUAACAAGCCAUUGCCUGAACAGUCAGCUAUGCUAGUGGCAAAAGCUUUUCAGCCAAUCAAAAUCAUCGACUCGGUGAUUUUCUUUCUUUAGUACUCCCUCCGUUCCAUAUUAAUUGGCACGGAGGGAGCAUUAGCUAGCUAAUUUGAUCACUCCAUUUAUGACUAUUGAUCUUUGCCUUUUAUUGUUGCUAGACUGUGCAGUCAACCCCAAAGUCACCUGAAGUUGUGUACUGUGGACAAAGGGAUUUUAAUUCAGAAUGUAAUUCUUAUUUCAAGCGAAUAUCAUGAGGAAAUCGACGAUCUUAUUGUGAGCCCCCUGGCCCUUUUCAUUAUGCCUACUUUUUCCACUAUAUCUUUUAGUAAUUCUGCAGUGCGUGGUGCAAGUUAUAUGUUGUUAACUUUAGAACCUUUAUAAAAUCUGCUACUCUAGUAAUCGGUGAGUGCUAUUUUUUGUACUAAGUAUGUAGGUGCAAUUUUUGCUCACACCUCCAUCUGUAUACUGUAAUCGAUAUAUGCGGGUUCUAAUUUCCAUCUUUUUUAUGUGCCCUUUCUGCAGUUAAAUUUGCAUUUUUGUAAACAUCGCAAUCACUACACGAGUCUGUUGCAAUUGCUUACACACACUCAUUCGAUUGCUUUCUAUAGCUUUGUGCAAUCCCAGUAGUUAUGCACUGCAAUUGCAAUAAAUUUGUAGGCUUCUUGACUUUUCCUUCUUUUUUUAAUCUGCCGGCUAGCACUAGCCUGUAGGCUAUAGCAGUGCAGACUCAUAUUCCAGUGGUGCUUUCAUUCAGUGCAUGUUUCUCUUGUUCAUCCGGAUAGCAAGAAUUAGGAAGCAAGAAUAAGGGAGUGGGGCGGUGGGGGGCGGGGAGGAAGCAGGUUGUACCUUUGAUGGCUGGUGAUCUUGUGAGUUUUCUCACAAAUUCACGUCACUGUACCUAUACAAAACAAUGAGAAUGACUGUGGUAUAUUCUGUAUGAAAUUUAUGGAGUUGUUCGGACGUCGGGUGCUGCUGCAUGGCAAGUUUUCUUAUAGGGACAUUAUAUUUUCCUGUCAAAAUUGCGAACGACAUGCUCUUUUCUAAGUUCAGCUUAGUUCAUACAGUUAAGGAAAUGAUUCUUCAGUUGUCUCAAUAGAUUGAUUUGUCCAAGAGGAGACAUAUUUGAACAGAAUCGUCUUCAUUUUGCCCUUGCCUUGUUAGCUUAUAUAAAAUUUGUUUUUAGAUUGCUCCAUAUUUGCUCUGUGGCAAUGCUUGUGAACUUUGUAAGGAUAAUGGAUCUAUGAAUGGCUUGUGUGCCAUGCCUCUGUGUCAAAUUGCAUUGUAUUUGAUUUUCAAUUGCAGUGUCUUAGCUUUUGCAAUCCCAAGAUAAGCAAGCUGCUUUUCGUA